CUCCUGUGACGACGAGACAGCGACUCCUCUCCUCUCAGCGAAAUUGAUGAGAACUCUGGCCGAAUAACCGAAGAGAUAGAGAAGUGCAAAGAGCAGAGUCUUGAGAAGAAGAGAGGCUUAGAGGAAGCCAAAGAACAAGUUGAGAAAGCUGCUUAUGUAGUUUUAGAGAUGCUCAACAACAGAGGAUAGAUUGUAGAGUGAAUGUAUUGAACAAUACUUUCAAUUACAUGAAUGAAGUUUAUGUUGGCUUUGAUGAGGAUAUAGUACCAUUGAGAAUAAGCUUUUAAAGUAAAUUUGACUGUUAUAUCA